AGAGUUAAACAGUACGUGAAAUUGUUGAAAGGGAAACGAUUGAAGUCAGUCAUACCAACGGGAAAUCAACCUUUUGAGCUCGGUCUCGUGGGUUUUGAAGAGUUUCAAAGCCUUCGGAUUCGCGGGAUUGGGAUCUCUUGGCGUACUUUUUCGUACGGUUAGUCAACAUCGGUUUUGAAUGUCAUAAAAUGACUGGAGGAAUGUAGCUUCGAUCUCGUAUUGAAGUGUUAUAGCCUUUGGUAGAUGUGAUGUUUGAGACCGAGGAUUGCAACGGAUACCCUUCAGGGCUAUUCGUCUGAUCUCUGAUACGUUGCCUUGAUGUUGAAAGCUUGCUUAUGAUGUUAGGGUAUUACGGUCAAAAGGUUAGAACGAAUUACAUUCGUUAAGGAUGUUGACGUAAUGACUUUAAACGACC
rnacentral:ncRNA from 2 species